rnacentral:rRNA from 1 species
GAGCGAACAGAUAAGGAGCUUGCUCCUUUGACGUUAGCGGCGGACGGGUGAGUAACACGUGGAUAACCUACCUAUAAGACUGGGAUAACUUCGGGAAACCGGAGCUAAUACCGGAUAACAUAUUGAACCGCAUGGUUCAAUAGUGAAAGGCGGCUUUGCUGUCACUUAUAGAUGGAUCCGCGCCGUAUUAGCUAGUUGGUAAGGUAACGGCUUACCAAGGCAACGAUACGUAGCCGACCUGAGAGGGUGAUCGGCCACACUGGAACUGAGACACGGUCCAGACUCCUACGGGAGGCAGCAGUAGGGAAUCUUCCGCAAUGGGCGAAAGCCUGACGGAGCAACGCCGCGUGAGUGAUGAAGGUCUUCGGAUCGUAAAACUCUGUUAUCAGGGAAGAACAAAUGUGUAAGUAACUGUGCACAUCUUGACGGUACCUGAUCAGAAAGCCACGGCUAACUACGUGC